UACGUAGGGGGCAAGCGUUGUCCGGAAUCAUUGGGCGUAAAGAGCGCGUAGGCGGCCCAGUCAGUCCGCUCUGAAAGUCAGGGGCUCAACCCCUGAAUGCGGGUGGAUACUGCUGGGCUAGAGUCCGGAAGAGGCGAGUGGAAUUCCUGGUGUAGCGGUGGAAUGCGCAGAUAUCAGGAGGAACACCAAUAGCGAAGGCAGCUCGCUGGGACGUUACUGACACUGAGGCGCGAAAGCGUGGGGAGCGAACAGG
rnacentral:rRNA from 1 species